rnacentral:rRNA from 1 species
GUCGAGCGCACUGGCCCAACUGAUCUGACGUGCUUGCACUGAAGUGACGAUGGAUUACCAGUGAGCGGCGGACGGGUGAGUAACACGUGGGCAACCUGCCCUGAAGCGGGGGAUAACAUUUGGAAACAGGUGCUAAUACCGCAUAACAACGAAAACCACAUGGUUUUCGUUUCAAAGAUGGUUUCGGCUAUCACUUCAGGAUGGGCCCGCGGUGCAUUAGCUUGUUGGUAGGGUAACGGCCUACCAAGGCAAUGAUGCAUAGCCGAGUUGAGAGACUGAUCGGCCACAAUGGAACUGAGACACGGUCCAUACUCCUACGGGAGGCAGCAGUAGGGAAUCUUCCACAAUGGGCGCAAGCCUGAUGGAGCGACACCGCGUGAGUGAAGAAGGGUUUCGGCUCGUAAAGCUCUGUUGUUGAAGAAGAACGUGCGUGAGAGUAACUGUUCACGCAGUGACGGUAUUCAACCAGAAAGUCACGGCUAACUACGUGCCAGCAGCCGCGGUAAUACGUAGGUGGCAAGCGUUAUCCGGAUUUAUUGGGCGUAAAGCGAGCGCAGGCGGUUGCUUAAGUCUGAUGUGAAAGCCUUCGGCUUAACCGAAGAAGUGCAUCGGAAACUGAGCGACUUGAGUGCAGAAGAGGACAGUGGAACUCCAUGUGUAGCGGUGGAAUGCGUAGAUAUAUGGAAGAACACCAGUGGCGAAGGCGGCUGUCUGGUCUGCAACUGACGCUGAGGCUCGAAAGCAUGGGUAGCGAACAGGAUUAGAUACCCUGGUAGUCCAUGCCGUAAACGAUGAGUGCUAGGUGUUGGAGGGUUUCCGCCCUUCAGUGCCGCAGCUAACGCAUUAAGCACUCCGCCUGGGGAGUACGACCGCAAGGUUGAAACUCAAAGGAAUUGACGGGGG